rnacentral:rRNA from 1 species
AACGAACGCUGGCGGCAUGCCUAACACAUGCAAGUCGAACGAACCCUUCGGGGUGAGUGGCGCACGGGUGCGUAACACGUGGGAACCUGCCCUUAGGUUCGGAAUAACACAGAGAAAUUUGUGCUAAUACCGGAUAAUGUCUUCGGACCAAAGAUUUAUCGCCUUUGGAUGGGCCCGCGUAGGAUUAGCUAGUUGGUGAGGUAAAGGCUCACCAAGGCGACGAUCCUUAGCUGGUCUUAGAGGAUGAUCAGCCACACUGGGACUGAGACACGGCCCAGACUCCUACGGGAGGCAGCAGUGGGGAAUAUUGGACAAUGGGCGAAAGCCUGAUCCAGCAAUGCCGCGUGAGUGAUGAAGGCCUUAGGGUUGUAAAGCUCUUUUACCUGGGAUGAUAAUGACAGUACCAGGAGAAUAAGCCCCGGCUAACUCCGUGCCAGCCGCCGCGGUAAUAC